rnacentral:rRNA from 1 species
GACGAACGCUGGCGGCGUGCCUAAUACAUGCAAGUAGGACGCAGUUGCGAACGGGUGAGUAACGCGUAGGUAACUACCUAUUAGAGGGGGAUAACUAUUGGAAACGAUAGCUAAUACCGCAUACUAGUAGAUGGACCUGCGUUGUAUUAGCUAGUAGGUAGGGUAAUGGCCUACCUAGGCAACGAUACAUAGCCGAGCUGAGGGGGAGGUCGGCCAAAAUGGGACUGGAUACAGGCCCAGGACCCUACGGGAUGCAGCAGGAGGGAAUCUUCGGCAAUGGGGUGAACCCUGAACGAGCAACGCCGCGGGAGUGAAGAAGGGUUUCGGGUCGUAAAGCUAUUUUGUUAAGGAAGCGGUACUUAACUAGAAAGCAACGGCUAACUACGUGCCAGCAGCCGCGGUAAUAC